rnacentral:ncRNA from 1 species
CCUGCUGCUGGGUCGCUGUAGCAGG